rnacentral:rRNA from 1 species
CAGCAGCCACGGUAAUACGGAGGGGGCUAGCGUUGUUCGGAAUUACUGGGCGUAAAGCGCACGUAGGCGGCUUGGUAAGUUAGAGGUGAAAGCCCAGGGCUCAACCCUGGAAUUGCCUUUAAGACUGCCGAGCUAGUAGGUGAGAGAGGUAAGUGGAAUUCCGAGUGUAGAGGUGAAAUUCGUAGAUAUUCGGAAGAACACCAGUGGCGAAGGCGGCUUACUGGCUCAUUCUAGACGCUGAGGUGCGAAAGCGUGGGGAGCAAACAGGAUUAGAUACCCCUGUAGUCCCUGUCUCUUAUAC